CACCCAGCAGCUAGCCCCACCCCCAAACACAAAACACAACUAUUAAUACCCCCUAACACACUUAAC
rnacentral:rRNA from 1 species